GGAAUAGGACCCUGACCUCCUAUUUUCAGUUGGUUUUGUUUACAGCGAGGUUAUAUCAGGGUAAUGAUUAAUAGGGAUAGUUGGGGGCAUUAAUAUUUAAUUGUCAGAGGUGAAAUUCUUGGAUUUAUGAAAGAUUAACUUCUGCGAAAGCGUUUGCCAAGGAUGUUUUCAUUAAUCAAGAACGAAAGUUAGGGGAUCGAAGACGAUCAGAUACCGUCGUAGUCUUAACCAUAAACGAUGCCGACCAGCGAUUAGGAGACGUUGAAUACAAAACACCGCUGUUAAUCCUUUCGGGGGUUAAUAGUUGGUGAAUGACUCCCUAGCAGCUUGUGAGAA
rnacentral:rRNA from 1 species